UGUUAUUUCUUCUAUUUUCGGGUUUUGCUCAGUUAUUAAUAAAACUACAGAAAAAAAUCAAUAAACAAAUAACUUGCUCAUGAACUAGAACUGGAUUAAAAAUGCAACAGAAAAAGUCUCUUGUCGUUUAUCUAUUGGAACAAUAUUUAUGGUAGAAAACAUAAGCCAUAAAAUUGUAAAGUAAUGAAAUAUUGUUGUACUGUAAUUUAAAAAAACAAAUUGUAAGAAACUUAGAGAGGCACUAAUAUAAUAAAUAAGAAAAAAUGUAUUGAAGAAACUGGUAAUAUGACCUUUACUGGAAUAAAUACACACAAGUGUAAAUAUCAAAGGGGAAAGUAAUUUAACGCCUGUUUUCAUUAACUACUACCUUUAUGCUAAUAAUGAACCCCCAGUCAUAGUAUUUUGGAAUGAUACUGCGGACAAACCAAUAUUAGAAUGGUUAAGAGUCCGGUUAUCUAUAAAAUGCUAAAUUUAACAUACAGUGAAAACACAGACAAUAAGCUAUAGAAAUCAGACAGGACCUUAUUUACAAAGUAUAUAGGCACCGUUGCCAAAAAAGGAAAGAUACUGAAUCCAAAAGAGACUCGACUUAAUUUGCUAAAAAGACCAGGGUAUAAAGCACUAUCACAACCAGGAUAUAGUACUAACAAAAUGU